rnacentral:rRNA from 1 species
UACGUAGGGUGCGAGCGUUGUCCGGAAUUAUUGGGCGUAAAGGGCUCGUAGGCGGUUUGUCGCGUCGGGAGUGAAAACCAGGUGCUUAACACCUGGCUUGCUUUCGAUACGGGCAGACUAGAGUUCGGUAGGGGAGUCUGGAAUUCCUGGUGUAGCGGUGAAAUGCGCAGAUAUCAGGAGGAACACCGGUGGCGAAGGCGGCCUACUGGGCCGGACCUGACGCUGAGACGCGAAGGCGUGGGGAGCGAACGGG